AGAGUUUGAUCCUGGCUCAGAACGAACGCUGGCGGCAUGCCUAACACAUGCAAGUCGAACGAUGGCUUCGGCCAUAGUGGCGCACGGGUGAGUAACGCGUGGGAACCUGCCCAGCAGUGGGGAAUAACUGAGGGAAACUUCAGCUAAUACCGCAUACGCCCUUCGGGGGAAAGAUUGAUCGCUGUUGGAUGGGCCCGCGUCGGAUUAGGUAGUUGGUGAGGUAACGGCUCACCAAGCCUGCGAUCCGUAGCUGGUCUGAGAGGAUGAUCAGCCACACUGGGACUGAGACACGGCCCAGACUCCUACGGGAGGCAGCAGUGGGGAAUAUUGGACAAUGGGCGCAAGCCUGAUCCAGCAAUGCCGCGUGAGUGAUGAAGGCCUUAGGGUUGUAAAGCUCUUUCGGCGGGGACGAUGAUGACGGUACCCGCAGAAGAAGCCCCGGCUAACUUCGUGCCAG
rnacentral:rRNA from 2 species